UUGCCUGAGAGGCAAAUAUUAUUUAGUUAUUUGCUUCCUUUGUUGGUUGUUCACUUCUACAGGAAUGUAAACUGCAUGAGAGCAGAAACCUUGCCUGUCUCCAUCACAGUGCCUGGGACAGUGCCUGGGAAGUGGUGGUGGGUGCAGCACAAUCAAUAUUUCUGGAAUGAAAUGUUCAGCCCAGCAUGGUCAGUGGUUGUCAAAGGAGACAAUGCAUCGGUACUGUCUGAAGAACUUUUCAAACACCUGCUCCUUUCUAGGAUCCAGACACAGGAUAAGGUAAGGUGUGUCUCAAACUGAACAGACUCCUUCCAAUUCCUAGAUAUUGGCAGGCUCAGUCCCUGGGCAGUUUAUCGGAAU
rnacentral:lncRNA from 10 species